UGGUUAAGUUAGAAAGGGCGCACGGUGGAUGCCUUGGCA
rnacentral:rRNA from 1 species